UACAGAGGUGGCAAGCGUUGUUCGGAAUUACUGGGCGUAAAGGGCGCGUAGGCGGCCUUCUAAGUCAGACGUGAAAUCCCCCGGCUUAACCUGGGAACUGCGUCUGAUACUGGAUGGCUUGAGUUUGGGAGAGGGAUGCGGAAUUCCAGGUGUAGCGGUGAAAUGCGUAGAUAUCGGGAGGAACACCGGUGGCGAAGGCGGCUCUCUGGGCCUUACCUGACGCUGAGGAGCGAAAGCGUGGGGAGCGAACAGG
rnacentral:rRNA from 1 species